AUGGCCGGUCGUGGGAAGGCAAUCGGCGCCGGCGCGGCCAAGAAGGCGACGUCAAGGAGCUCCAAGGCUGGGCUGCAGUUCCCCGUGGGAAGGAUCGCCAGGUUCCUCAAGGCCGGCAAGUACGCCGAGCGCGUCGGAGCCGGCGCCCCCGUCUACCUCGCCGCCGUCCUUGAGUACCUCGCCGCUGAGGUCCUGGAGCUGGCCGGAAACGCCGCCAGGGACAACAAGAAGACACGUAUCGUGCCCCGCCACAUCCAGCUCGCCGUGCGCAAUGACGAGGAGCUGACCAAGUUGCUCGGCGGCGCCACCAUCGCCAGCGGCGGUGUGAUGCCCAACAUCCACCAGCACCUCCUCCCCAAGAAGGCCUCUUCCUCCAAGGCGUCCACCGUCGAUGACGACGACAACUGA
rnacentral:rRNA from 1 species